AUAUCUAUAUCUAUAUCUAUAUCUAUAUCUAUCAUCUAUUCUUUAUUCAUUCAUCUAUCGAUGGACACAGGGGUGUAAAUCUUCAUUGUGCAAACUGCCUUGUGCAUUGUGGGACAUUCAGCAUCUCUGGCCCCUAGAACCCAAUGCCAGAUCACCUCUCAUUGUUGCUACAAUGAAACAAAGACUCUAACACAUUUUCAAACGCUCUAGGAGCAUCUCCAUUGGACUGAGUGAUUCCUCAGGAUCUUCCAGCUUGGAUAUUCUUAGAAUCCUCUGGUUGGUGUGUCGGGACCACUGGUGGCCCAGAACCACGCAGAGGCCUGGAUGGUGGGUCAAUGAUGCAGAAAAAGCCAGAACCAAACUUGAGACAACGCCCAUGCCAUGACCUGAGACCUGAGGACAGAACUAGUGUCCAGCGUCCCAGUCUUCCAAGGGGACACAAACUCCCAGCUGGCCCUGGCUGGCUUCAAACCUGAGGGGCUUUGGUCCACCCUGAUGGACAGGAGUCCUGGCAUCUCUGGGGCUGGAAUGAGACCACCCCGAUCUUGUACAUGUCCUGGGACCAUAGUUCAUCUGGUAUGAAGUGUCAGAGCUUUGGUGACUGAUAAAGGAGGAACUUGGAAGGAGAAGAAUUCGUCAAUAUUUAUCCAACAGGGUCCAGGAGAGGCGGCUCUGAAUCGAGACAACUGGUCAAGCAGACAUUCGUCAAGCGUCUCUUAUGUGCCAGGCACCAGGAAAACAAUACAAGAAACAGCACACACAGCCCUGGACCUCACGGUGCUUACAGUCUGUUAGGGAGGCACCACGAACAGAGCAAUCUCACAGUCUGGCAGGGUCCGUUCUGAGUCUGGGUUCUGUUCUGGCUGUGAUGCGCGGGGCCGCAUUCCCUGUGAAUGUGCCGGCAAAGAGUUCGCACGUCCCGUCUGCAUAUCCUGGACCAGGUACUGGCAGAACGUGAGUACCACGAGGACAGAGACUUUGGCUGAUGUUUCCACUCCCGUGGCCCCAGUGCCCAGAGCCGUGCGUGGCACAGAACAGAGAUCCAGAAGUUUCCAAGGCCAAGGCAGUGGAGUCUCUAGGGGACAAAUGCCAGCAUGAGUGAGUGUGUGUGUGUGUGUGUGAGCGUGCAUGUGCAUUUGGGACAGAGGACGGUGAGGUUCCCUGAGGGAAAUCGAGAACAAUCGUCUCCCCUGGGGCUGUGGCUCCCCAGGCUGCCUGGAUGUGUAAGUGAGGAGGCAGCGCCUCCUUUGCCUGGUGACCCUGGGUGGCUGGGCUGAACACGGGUCUUUCUCAGCACGCUGGAGCACAGUCCAUCUGUCCCCAAGGAGGGACUGGGGUGCUCCGGCUGUUAUCCCACUUUGGAGGGACCCCGGGCCCAGGCCUACUUCAUAUUGGUGCCAUUUUUUCUUCCCUCUGUGGCACCGGCCGGCUCCCCUCCUCACUCCUGCCUUCCUGUCACCAGUGCCUGAUGGGCCCCCUCCCACCUGCAUUCCCUGUUGGCACCAAAUUUUCACACUUGUGGCUUUAGUGGCUCUGUAGGGUUCCCCCUGUCUCCUUAAGUGGGGUAGCAUAGCCUACUCGGGCUUUUGGUGCUCAGCCCCCCACCACUGCCACUCUGGUCUUUGUCCUAGGCCCAGUGAAAAGGAUUCCAGAAAAAAGUUGCAGAGGCUCCCGCUCCUCCCACUGGGGAAGGGCCCUCUCAUUCUCCCCUCAUCCAACUCUCCCCCCAGCUGAGGGGCCCAGUGCCAGAGAACCCUACUUGACUUCUGGCUGGGGUACCGUGGCUGGUAGGGAGGUUUGCAUAGACUCAGCUUUGGAUCCAGGCCCCCACCCAGACUCAGUGGGGUUACCUAGUGUUGGAAGGAUGCUCCCUAUCGGUUCAAGCCCCCCACCCUGUUUCCCCUGGGCCCUGCUCCCUAUACCCGGAAGGCCCACAACCACUGCCCCAUCCUCAGAGCUGUCAGAACCCCCAGUUCUAAAGCUCCCAACCCUGGCAGGACCCCAGAAUAUUUGCAAGUGAAGGAUUUCAGGGAUCAGAGGUUUAUGAAGUGCGUUGUUCACAGUGCCCUGGGCUGAUCGGUGUGUGUGUGUGUGUGUGUGUGUGUGUGCCCGUGUGCAUGAGAUGGACAGGGCCCCCACUCCUAUUUUGACCACAGAACCCCAAACCUUUUUUGUGUUACCAGUGGAGAGACUACAUAAAUUACUAUUUAAACAAGAGAACCCAUUAUUUAAAAAAAGAAAUGUUUGAAAACCAUGAAAACUGGACAAAACUCAUCUCACAUCCUGGGAAACUGAGGCCCAGAGGAGCAAAUGGCUUCUCAAGGUCACAGUGGGAUCAGGGGCAGAGCUGGUACCAUCCCAGGCCACCUGGCUCAUAGGCUGAUGUUUUUGCCAAGACCAGGCCGACAUGUCCCUCUCAUGAGGUGGCAACUGGGGGUGGCGUGCCAGGAAGGCCCCAUCCAGAGAAGCAGGUUAAGGUCACAGCCUCCCCACCCCACAGGCCCCCUGGCAAGUGCCUGGGAGAAUAGUUGCAUGGGAAAGGUGGCUCAUUUCUUAACUGGAGGCUUGAGAUUUUGAAGUGGGAAGGGGCAGGAAGAGGGAGGAAGAGCAGAGAGGGGAGCAGGGGACAGGGGUUCGUCCUCUGGGUCCCUUACACCCCUCCCCCAAUCAGAGCACCAAAUGCCCUCCCGCCAGUUUGAGACUGCUUCUACAUUCCCCCACGGUCACUCUGCCAGGUCCCCAUAGGAGGAGGAGGAAGGCUGCUUCAAGGCCCUCCCCCCUGCCCCUUAGCCUGCGACCCACUGGAAACAGCCCCUGACCCCAAGCACCUGAUUUCCAAGCAGAGGGAACUUGUGCCAGGCAUAGAGGGGGCUGGGUGGCCUUGGGGUGAUGGCAUCUGAGGUGGGAAAGCUGUGAAGCUGGGUGGGGAUUUCUGUCUCAGGGGUCCUGUGCAAUCCCCCCCCCCCCCCCCCCAGCGACAACACAGAAAUGGCACGGUAGGGGGCUCUGUGGCACUCACUGUGCCUCCCCUCAGUGUCCAGAUGGGCACCGGGGGAAAAUGCUAUUGAAUGAAUGUGUCCAUCUCUCCCCCAGCCCCUCCACAGUCACCGGCCUCUCCUCUCCCCACAUCCCUGCCCUUUAGUGACUACAAGGACUGGGUUAUUCUUAGUAGGUUUCAUUCAUCAAAGCGUGACAAACGAUGUCCUGGGAGGAAUGCCUGUGUGCUGCCAGAGCCAGAGGGCUGGGGUGGGGUGCAAAGGCCCCAUCUGAGAGGGGAAUUAAAUGCCUUGAAGGAGGGGCGCCUGGGUGGCGCAGUCGGUUAAGCGUCCGACUUCAGCUCAGGUCACGAUCUCGCGGUCUGUGAGUUCGAGCCCCGCGUCGGGCUCUGGGCUGAUGGCUCAGAGCCUGGAGCCUGUUUCCGAUUCUGUCUCUCCCUCUCUCUCUGCCCCACCCCCGUUCAUGCUCUGUCUCUCUCUGUCUCAAAAAUAAAUAAACAUUAAAAAUUUAAAAUAAAUAAAUAAAAAAUGCCUUGAAGGAGCUCCAGACUGCAGGGGAGACAUAGUCUUGCCCUCAGGGAGCCCCAGUCUGAGGGGGGAGACAUAGCCCUGCCCCCAGGGACUCCAGUCUGAGGGCGGAGACCAGUCUGUCCUCAGGGAGCCCCAGUCUGAGAAGGAAGACACAGUCCUGCCCUCUGGGAGCUUCCUGCGAUGGGGGAUACUACCCUCACACCCCACUCCCCAAACCCUCAGUGAGAUCCUAGACUGAAAGGAAGCGAUCCAAUAUUCUGCCCUCAAGGAACCUCUAGUUGCAUGGCAGAAAAACAUCUGUCAUCCCUGUUGGAGAAGGCAUACCCAAGGCACAGAUUGAAACUCAAGAUGAAAAAAGGUGGUAUGAGAGGGGUUUCCAGAAGCACGUGCAGCCCCCACUGCCACCACAUGUGGGAAGCCUAAAGAGGGGCUCUCAGGGACAUUCACCUGGGCGUGCUUACCAAGAAACAUGCACAGACUACCAGGGGGUGCACUACGGUGCAGACUGAGAUCCUGGCACCCGAGGAAAGGUUAAAGGCUAGGCCAAGUGGGCUGGUCUAAAUCGGGGGUCUCAAACCCGAAUGCCUUUGGGGACUAGUCUGACACUGGCCUUUGCCAAUGGGGAGGGCGAUCAGAUGGCCCACACUGUCUGUAAGCUCUCAUACUCAGUACAAAAA